GCAAACUUGGUCAUUUAGAGGAAGUAAAAGUCGUAACAAGGUUUCCGUAGGUGAACCUGCGGAAGGAUCAUUAAAGAUUUAGUCAUCUUAUCCACCUCGUGUGCAGCCUUACAAGUCUGAUAUCCUUGGAGAGAUCAAUCUUUGAAACUCUCCAAGGAGGUUAUCACGAUCAAUGUAUCUUUUCUUUACUCUUCUAUGUCUAAAUCAAUAAAUUUAAUUUGAAACAACUUUCAACAACGGAUCUCUUGGCUCUCGCAUCGAUGAAGAACGCAGC
rnacentral:misc_RNA from 1 species